rnacentral:rRNA from 1 species
UACGUAGGGGGCAAGCGUUGUCCGGAAUCAUUGGGCGUAAAGCGCGUGUAGGCGGCCAGAUAAGUCCGCUGUGAAAACUCGAGGCUUAACCUCGAGACGUCGGUGGAAACUGCCUGACUAGAGUCCGGAAGAGGAGAGUGGAAUUCCUGGUGUAGCGGUGAAAUGCGCAGAUAUCAGGAAGAACACCCGUGGCUAAGGCGGCUCUCUAGUACGGUACUGACGCUGAGACGCGAAAGCGUGGGGAGCGAACAGG